UUUGCAGUUCUAGAGAAAACGUGCGUACGCCUCUCUUUUAGGUGUGAAAUCUAUAAAUUGCAAUGAUCUUGAAAUUGUGCGCAGCUGAACAGUUUCAGA